AUACCUAAUACUAGUUAUACUAUUGGAGUGAGAGCAUAUACUAGUAUUGGACCAGGAGAAUGGACUGAUAGAGAUUACACUACUGGUCAAAUACAUGUCACUCUAAGUUCUACUUUAGUAUCAACUUCAAGUACUUUAAUGGUAUCAGCAGUGACAAGUAUGUCACUUGUCACAAAACAUUAUCACAUGACUAUCACAUUGCCUACAGGUACUGGUACUUCAAUGAGAAGUAAAUUAUCAAGUACAACUCUGAUGACAACAACACUACCAAGUAAUACUAUGCUGCCUAACACUAAUGGAAACUUAGCAGUUAUUUAUGUAGCAGCUGGGGCUGUUGUGCCAUUAUUAAUUAUGAUUAUAAUAAUUGUCAUUAUUAUCAUAAUCAUAUUAAAGUAAGUAUAAAUUGACACUAUAUAUAACUAUAAUGGAAGAAAUAGGAAAAAGAGAGUUGGAAAGAAAUACGAUGUGGCUACUAAAAAUGGUUUGACUGAUAAACCAUCAAGUAGUGAACUUGAUGUUUCUACAUGCAACAUCAAUAAUAAAUCUUAUGAAAGUGUUGAAUUAGAAAAUAUUCAAGAGGCAACCUACAGUACAGUAAUGAAGCCUAAAAAGCCAGUGAUAGAAGAGUUCCCUAGUAAUGUGACAACUGAGGAAGGUCGUCGGGU